rnacentral:lncRNA from 1 species
AUGGAAGUGCAGGGGUUAGGAGGGGCCGCAGGCUGGACAGCAGCUCAGGUAAGGACGGACCCGUGUCCCACCUCCAGCAGCUCCUGGGGCUCUGUCCCCUCCUGCUCUUGUCCUGACCCUGCCCCAGGAAGGUCCCCGCAGGGCUCACAGGGAUGUUUUCCACAGAAUUAUGGAAUGGGAUGGGUGGGAAGGGACCUCAGAGCCACCAGUGCCACCCCUGCCAUGGCAGGGACACCUCCACUGUCCCAGUGCUCCCAGCCCCAGUGUCCAGCCUGGCCUUGGGCACUGCCAGGGAUCCAGGGGAAUCUGGGAAUUCCAUCCCAGCCCUGCCCACCCUGCCAGGGAACAAUUCCCAGUUCCCAAUCUCCCACCCAGCCCUGCCCUCUGGCACUGGGAGCCAUUCCCUGGGUCCUGUCCCUCCAUCCUUGUCCCCAGUCCCUCUGCAGCUCUCCUGGAGCCCCUUCAGGCCCUGCCAGGGGCUCUGAGCUCUCCUGGAUCCCCUCCAGGCCCUGCCAGGGGCUCUGAGCUCUGCCCAGAGUGGGAAAACACCGACACCAGCUCUGCCAGCCUUAUCUCCCACUGUAUUGUCACCAGCUCUGCCAACCUUAUCUCCCAUUUUAUUGUCCCCUCUGUAACAGGAAACAGGAGCCCCUGGUGAUGGACACUGUCCAGACAAACCCAAAAUCCAUUGUGUGCCCCCGGAAAGGCUCUCAGUUAAUAAGGGGCACAGCAGGUGGACAGACAGACAGACAGACAGACAGACAGACAGACAGACGGGUGCAGGGCUGGAGCACGGAGCUCUCCAGGGAGAUCCUUAUCUCCCCCACCUGAAAAGCUGCCAGGAGCAGCUCGGGUUUCCACCCUCUGGAAGUUUGCCCAUCUCCCCCCACUCCCGGUGGGCAGGAGGAGAAAAUCCUCCCGGGGUCACCGGGACCAGGAGGGGACCAGGAGGGGACGGGGACAGCAGGGACCUUCCUCUGCCACCCCUUCCCUCUGCCCGGGUGGAGAAACCCUGUCACCUGUCACUGUCCCCCUGCCAGGGGCCAGAGAAUCCCUGCUGGACCCAAAGCAGGAUUUUGUGGGAUCAGCCCGGCAGCAGCGCCUCUGCCAAGGGAAAAAAGGGGAUUUGCCCUUCCCACCCCCCAGCAGCGCAAGGAGAGAGCCCCAGAGGGGCUCGGGAGUCUCUCCGACAGUUUUUGCAUUAGAAAUUCAAGUCCUGCCCGAUCUGGGAAACAAUCUGGUAACUCAAGAACAGUGAAAUUGCAGCGGUGGAGGGGUGGGCUGCCAGAGCCCGGUGAGGCUUUUCCUGCAGCCCUGGGAGGCUCUGAGGAAGGGACAGGGGUGACCCUGCCACCCCCGGGCUGGACGGGGCAGGGGAGCCCCAGUGCCCCCCGAGCCCGGCGGGACCCCAGCGCCAGCGAGGAGCAGCACUGAGAAACGAGGGAGAGGGACCAGCCCCGCCAGCACUGCCCAGGCCACCACGAACCCUGUCCCCAAGUGCCACGUCCACAGGGCCUUGGACACCUCCAGGAUGGGCACUCCAACCCUCCCUGGGCAGUGCCAAGGCCUGAGCCCCUUUCCAGGCAGAAAUUCCUGCUGCUGCCCACCCUGAGCCUGCCCUGGCCCAGCCUGAGCCCAUUUCCCCGUGUCCUGUCCCUGUUCCCUGGAGCAGAGCCCGACCCCCCCUGGCUGUCCCCUCCUGUCAGGAGCUGUGCAGAGCCACAAGGUCCCCCCUGAGCUCCUUUUCUCCAGGCUGAGCCCCUUCCCAGCUCCCCCAGCCCCUCCUGGGGCUCCAUUCCCUCCCCAGCUCCCAGCACUGCUGGCCCCAGGGCCAGGCGGGAUCUCGGUGGGAUCUCGGUGGAAUUUCCAUGGGAUCUCUGUGGGAUUGCUGUGGGAUUGCUGUGGGAUCGCUGUGGGGUCUCUGCACGAUCUCAGUGGGAUUUCAGCAGGGUUCCUGCAGGAUCUCAGUGAGGUUUCUGUGGAAUCUCUGCAGGGUCUCUGCAGGAUUUCUAUGGGAUCUCUGUGGGAUCACUGUGGGAUCUCUGUGGGAUCUCUGUGGGAUUUCUGUGGGAUCUCUGCAGGAUCUCUAGGGGAUUUCUGUGGGAUUUCUGUGUGAUCUCAGCGGGAUCUCUGCAGGAUUUCUAUGGGGUCUCUGUGGGAUCUCUCUGGGAUUUCUGUGAGAUCUCUGCAGGAUCUCUAUGGGAUUUCUAUGGGAUCUCUGUGGGA